GCCGGGCAUGGUGGCGGGUGCCUGUAGUCCCAGCUACUCGGGAGGCUGAGGCAGGAGAAUUGCUUGAACCCAUGAGGCGGAGGUUGCAGUGACCCAAGAUCAUGCCACUGCACUCCAGCCUGGUGAUAGAGCGAGACUCUGUCUCAAAACAAAACCAAACAAAUUUUUUUUUUUGAGACGGAGUCUCGCUCUGUCGCCCAGGCUAGAGUGCAGUGGCGCAAUCUCGGCUCACUGCAACCUCUGCCUCCCGGGUUCACGCCAUUCUCCUGCCUCAG
rnacentral:SRP_RNA from 2 species